AAUCAUUGGGUUUAAAGGGUACGCAGGCGGUAUUAUAAGUCAGUGGUGAAAGCCUACAGCUCAACUGUAGAACUGCAAUUGAUACUGUAGGACUUGAAUUCGGUCGAAGUGGGCGGAAUAUGACAUGUAGCGGUGAAAUGCUUAGAUAUGUCAUAGAACACCGAUAGCGAAGGCAGCUCACUAGGCCUGGAUUGACGCUCAGGGACGAAAGCGUGGGGAGCAAACA
rnacentral:rRNA from 1 species